CCUACGGGUGGCAGCAGUGAGGAAUAUUUGUCAAUGGACGUAAGCCUGAACCAGCCAAGUCGCGUGAAGGAUGACGGUUCUAUGGAUCGUAAACCUCUUUUAUAUGGGAAUCAAAUGUUCGACGUGUCCUGUUUUGUAUUUACCUUAUGCAUAAGGAUCGGCUAACUCCGUGCCAGCAGCCGCGGUAAUACGGAGGAGCCGAGCGUUAUCCGGAUUUAUUGGGUUUAAAGGGUGCGUAGGCGGCCUUUUAAGUCAGUGGGUAAAGUUUGAGGCUCAACCAUAGAAUUGCCGUUGAAACUGGUAGUCGUGAGUAUGGUUGAGGCAGGCGGAAUUCGUGGUGUAGCGGUGAAAUGCUUAGAUAUCACGCAGAACCCCGAUUGCGAAGGCAGUCUGCCAAGCCAUGACUGACGCUGAGGCACGAAAGCGUGGGGAUCAAACAGGAUUAGAUACCCGAGUAGUC
rnacentral:rRNA from 1 species